UACGUAGGAGGCGAGCGUUGUCCGGAAUUACUGGGCGUAAAGAGCGCGUAGGCGGCGCGGUACGACCGCUGUGAAAGCCCCCAGCUCAACUGGGGAGGGUCAGCGGUAACGGCCGUGCUUUGAGUGCAGGAGAGGGAAGUGGAACUCCGGGAGUAGCGGUGAAAUGCGUAGAGACCCGGAGGAACACCAGUGGCGAAGGCGGCUUCCUGGUCUGCGACUGACGCUGUGGCGCGAAAGCCAGGGGAGCAAACGGG
rnacentral:rRNA from 1 species